rnacentral:rRNA from 1 species
GAUCAUGGCUCAGAGUGAACGCUGGCGGCGUGCUUAACACAUGCAAGUCGAACGGAUGAAUAAGCUUGCUUAUUUCGUUAGUGGCGCACGGGUGAGUAAUGUAUAGCUAACCUGCCCUUUAGUGGGGGACAACAGUUGGAAACGACUGCUAAUACCCCAUAUUCCUUCUUAUCAUAAGGUAAGUUGGGAAAGAUUUAUUGCUAAAGGAUGGGGCUUUAUGGUAUCAGCUAGUUGGUGGGGUAACGGCCUACCAAGGCUAUGACGCCUACCUGGUCUGAGAGGACGAUCAGCCACACUGGGACUGAGACACGGCCCAGACUCCUACGGGAGGCAGCAGUGGGGAAUUUUGGACAAUGGGCGCAAGCCUGAUCCAGCCAUGCCGCGUGCGGGAAGAAGGCCUUCGGGUUGUAAACCGCUUUUGUCAGGGAAGAAAUCUUCUGGGCUAAUACCUCGGGAGGAUGACGGUACCUGAAGAAUAAGCACCGGCUAACUACGUG